AUUCACUUAAUCAUCGCAAUCGUUAUGAGGACUGGAAAUAUGUAGUGGAUAUGAGCUUGAAAUUGUUCAAUUCGAACAAGCAAAGGAAAGGGAAAAAGAAGCCUAUGUGGGAAGUCGUAAAGGGUCCUCGACAACCUGAUGCUAAACAAUGUGAGUUUUAUGUGAUGAAAUUUAUGAGAGAAAUUAUUGAAGGAAAUGCUACCGGCGAGAUGGAUUCAC